AUUUGAUCACAAAUUUCCAUGACCUAACGCGGAACAUGAGAAGGCCUAAUAUGUACCAGGAACAAGAUGAAAAUAAAAGGGAUCAAUGAUAAAAACCAUGAUACACUUACUUUAGGUAAUUAACCUGAUAACCAUAAAACUUAGGUGGGUUAAAUUCCAUCACCUUCUCCCAGAAAAAUAUUCCUAUUUUUCCUAAAAUUGCAUCUUGAUCCUCAGGGAGCCUUCAUCAUCCUCACCAUCAACAAUCUAAAAUUUAAAAACAAAUGAUCAUAUUGAAAAAAACGAAGAAAUUAUAAUCACAUAUGUAGAUCAAUCAUCCCCCAAGGGCGAUAUACCAUUGGGGGCUGAUUGAUCUACUGAUGUGGUUACAAUUCUUCACUUUCUCAAAUGAUAAUUUAUUUUAAAAUUUUAGAUAUAUGAUGAUGAGGAUGAUCAACACACCCCUGGAGAUCAAGAUGCAUUUUUAGGAAAACUAGGAACUUUUUAGCAGGAGAAAGGCGAUGUAAUUUAAACCACCUAGUUUUUAUUGUUAUUAGCUUAAUUACCUAAAAUAAGUGUAUUAUGAUUUUAUCAUUGAGCCUUUUUAUUUUCAUCUUGUUCCUGGUAAAUAUCAGAUCUUCUCAUGUUCUUUGUGCUAGGUUAUGGAGAUUUGUGAUCAGAUUAGGUGGCUACGAUCUGAUGGUGCUACUGCAGAUGGUGCUACUACAGAUGGUGUUACUGCACUAGAUUUUGGUCCUGCUGGACCUGAUAAGAGUCUUCAAGUUGCAGGAGUUGAUUAGGAAAAAGUUCAAACUUCAUGUUGGCAAGACUACUGUGAGAAGAGCAAGAGCUAAAGUGGUGAAAGAUAUAAUGGGUGAUCAAUUGUGGAAUUUGGAAGGAUAUUUGACUACGAGGAUGAAUUGUUGAGAACCGAUCCAGGGACCAGUUAUGUUGUAAAAGUUGGUGAACCUGAUACAAAAAGCAGAUCAAUAUUUCAGAGUUUUUACAUGUGUUUUGAUGCUUUAAAGAAGACAUAGAUACAUUGUAUGAAGUGCAUAGGAUUAUAUGGUUGUUUUCUUAAAGGGGUUUAUAAAGGCCUACUGUUAGUUGUUGUGGCCAUUGUAUGGUAACAAUUAGAUGUUGUCACUUGCUUGGGCAGUAGUGAAAAAGGAGAACAAACACACAUGGACCAUGUUUGUGAAGUGCAUAAGGGAUGAUUUGGGACUUGGAGAUGGUGAAGGUCUCACAUUGAUUACAAACAUGCAAAAGGGAAUGUCAGUAGAAAUUACAAAUGUGCUACCUAAGUGAGAACGUAGAAUAUAUGCUAGGCACAUAUUAGCUAAUUGGGCUAAGGAUUGGAGGGGUCUUUAAACAAGACAACAAUUUUGAAAGAUAGCUAUGAGUACAUUUGAGUCUCAAUUAAGGCAUCACAUAGAGAAGAUGAAGUUGUUAGAUCCAGAAAAAAAUGAUGGAUAACUUAAUGACUACAUCAUUAAUUUUUGGUGCAAAAUUUACUUCAAUACUGAAGUAAACUGUGAUUCUGUAGAUAACGACAUGUCUGAUUGUUUUAAUUCAUGGAUCUCGGUUGCUAGACACAAGACCAUAAUUACUAUGCUUGAAGAAAUAAGAGUGAAUAUGAUGACAAAAUUAGGCAGUUUGACGGAGCUUCCUAGUACUUGGAAGUGUAAUUUCUCUCAAAUGUCUCUGAAAGUUUAAGAGGAGAACAUUAGUAGGUCUAUGAACUGUACAAUUGAAUUUAAUGGAGCUGCUAGAUUUGAAGUGAAAAAAGGGCUUUGUCAACACAAAGUGGAUAUUGCUAGGAGAACCUGUAGUUGUAGGGUGUGGAAGUUAAGGGGCAUACCAUGUGCACAUAAUGUAGCUGCAUUAUACUUUAAGAAAUUGUCUCUUUAUGACUAUAUACACAACUACUACAACAAGGAAACUUAUUUGAGGACUUAUUCCAUUGUUAUUGAACCACUGACAAACAUGGAGAUGUGACCAAUUUCUACUAACCCCACUGUUGAGCCCCCAAAAAUCACAAACAUGUCUGGUACUCCACCUAAGGCUAGAAGAAAAGAAGCUGGAGAAACUAAGAAAUCAGGGAAGCUUUCUAGGACUGGACUUUCAAUGUCAUGCAGUUUAUGUGGUGUUAGAAACCAUAACAAGAGAGGGUGUCCUCAAAGAGAAUGUGUUGAAUCAUCAACAAGACAAAAUGCAUCAUCACCUACUACAUCAGUAAGGGCAAAAUCAACAAGUCAGACAGGGAAGAGGCAAACCAAAGAAAACACCAUCAACACCAUCAGAAGGUGAGCCUUCAGUAAAAAGGGGAAGAGGAAGACCCAAAGAACAUCAUCAGUAGCAUCUAGUGAACCUCACCUACCUACUGCACCUACUGAUUUUCCUGCAUCCUCUUCUACUCCUCCUACUUAUCAUGCAUCAUCUUCAAUAGUUGAUACUACUAAAAGAGGAAGAGGGGGAAACACAUCUCCAGAUAAAAGACCAAGAGUCAUGGGAAUGAGUGUGUUCCAAGCUUCAAAUGGCUUCAAAGCCAUGAAUCCUGGCAUGCCAAAGUAGUAAAAUCUACUCUACUGGACAAGCAAGAGUGAAAAAAUCAUCUGAUGUACCUGGUGACAUUGGUUAUACACCAAGUAAUACAACUAAUUAAGCUUAAAUUGAAUGUCAAAGCAGCAAUCUCAACAAGCAAGCUUCAUGAGUUUAGUGAGAAGCAAAGAAAGAAGACAAUGGGAAGUAGUUCAAGUCAAAUGACACUUCUUCACAAUCAAAGAUGCCAUGAAAAUUGUAGUGAUGUUGAUGUAUUUAAGCACUUUUAAGUUAAUGACCUGCUAUUUUGGAUUUUUGUUGGUAAAUUUUGUCUUAUGUGAGGCCUUAUGAACAUGAGUUUUAUUUUGGUAAAUUCUGCCUUGUGUGAGGCGUUAUUUUGGUAAAUUUUGGCUUAUGUGAGGCCCUUAUGAAUGAAUGUUUAUGUUGUAUUUUAAAAUGGAUAUUAUGUUGUCUAUCAAACUAUAUUGGCGUUA